AUUGAACGCUGGCGGCAUGCCUUACACAUGCAAGUCGAACGGCAGCGCGGACUUCGGUCUGGCGGCGAGUGGCGAACGGGUGAGUAAUACAUCGGAACGUACCCUGUUGUGGGGGAUAACUAGUCGAAAGAUUAGCUAAUACCGCAUACGACCUGAGGGUGAAAGUGGGGGACCGCAAGGCCUCACGCAGCAGGAGCGGCCGAUGUCUGAUUAGCUAGUUGGUGGGGUAAAGGCCCACCAAGGCGACGAUCAGUAGCUGGUCUGAGAGGACGAGCAGCCAAACUGGGACGGGGACACGGCCCAGACUCCUACGGGAGGCAGCAGUGGGGAAUUUUGGACAAUGGGGGCAACCCUGAUCCAGGAAUGCCGCGUGUGUGAAGAAGGCCUUCGGGUUGUAAAGCACUUUUGUCCGGAAAGAAAUCGCGCUGGUUAAUACCUGGCGUGGAUGACGGUACCGGAAGAAUAAGCACCGGCUAACUACGUGCCAGCCGCCGCCGCAG
rnacentral:rRNA from 1 species